GAAGGUGUAUCUAGAAAGACAAAUUAGAGCUUGAAAAGUAAAGCAUUUCAUUUACAUUGAAAAGUAUAUUGUGUGAUUCAAUUUAAUUUGAUAAUAAAAAUUUAUUAAUUUUUUAAUGUUUAAAAAUUUAUUUAAUAAAAUUAAUUUUAAAUUUAGAUUUUUUUUGUAUAAUAUAUUGAUCAAAUAAUUUAUAUAAUAGUUAAUUAGUAUUGUAAAAGAAUAUUGAAAUAUAUGAAAAAGUUUUAAAUUAAAAGUAAAUUUUAUAUAUUGUACCUUGUGUAUCAGGGUUUAUUAAUUAAAAGUUAAAAAUUUAAUUUUUCUCGAAUUUAAGAGAGUUAAUUUAUUAUUUAAUUUUUUGUUUCAUAAAAAUUUAAAAUAAUAAGUUAGAAAUGAAAUGUUAUUCGUUCUUAAAUAUAUCUAGUUUUUUAAGAAAUAAAUUAAAUUUAGAUUAUUAAUAAAUAAUUAUUUAUUUAAAUAAUAAGUUAUUAUUAAUAAUUAAUAUUUUAAGGGAUAAGCUUUAAAGUAAGUUUUAUAAUAAUUUUUUAAUUUAAAAAUUAUAGGUUUAGAAAUAGUCAUUAAUUAUAAAAAUGUUAUAAUUUAUUUUAAAUUAAAAAUAAUUUUUAUUAAUUUAAAUUUUUUAUUAAAAUAAUUUUUAAAAUUAUGUAAGAAUUAAAAUAAUGAUAAAAUUAGUAUAUUUUAAUUAUUUAAAAUAAAUAAAUUGAAAGGUUAAAUUAAGGAACUUGGCAAAUAAAUACUCGCCUGUUUAACAAAAACAUGUCUUUUUGAGUAUAAUUUAAAGUCUAAUCUGCCCACUGAAGAAUUUUAAAGGGCCGCGGUAUU
rnacentral:rRNA from 1 species